rnacentral:rRNA from 1 species
CCUACGGGGGGCAGCAGUGAGGAAUAUUGGUCAAUGGCCGUAAGGCUGAACCAGCCAAGUAGCGUGAGGGAAGACUGCCCUAUGGGUUGUAAACCUCUUUUAUGCGGGGAUAAAGGUGUCCACGUGUGGAUGUUUGCAGGUACCGCAUGAAUAAGGACCGGCUAAUUCCGUGCCAGCAGCCGCGGUAAUACGGAAGGUCCGGGCGUUAUCCGGAUUUAUUGGGUUUAAAGGGUGCGCAGGCGGAGGCACAAGUCAGCGGUAAAAUCGCGGGGCUCAACCCCGCUCCGCCGUUGAAACUGUGUCCCUUGAGUGCGCGAAGGGUAGGCGGAAUGCGUGGUGUAGCGGUGAAAUGCAUAGAUAUCACGCAGAACUCCGAUCGCGAAGGCAGCCUACCGGCGCGCAACUGACGCUCAUGCACGAAAGCGUGGGUAUCGAACAGGAUUAGAUACCCGGGUAGUC